CACCUCUCAAGCCUGGCUUGCUGUUGGACUCUGGGUUGAGCUUCGGCUCUGACCAGUCCCAAAGAUAAUGACGGCGUCUGUGAGGACCCCAGUACAUUGAGCUAUUUCUAGCACGUAUUAGGCGGAAAUCCAGGCCCGGUCUUACCCAUUUUACUUAUAAGGUUGACCUCGGAUCAGGUAGGGAUACCCGCUGAACUUAA
rnacentral:misc_RNA from 1 species